AACAACAACUCAAAUCAUGUGGUUAUCACAACAAAUACCAAAUCAUGUGAAAAAUAAGAAUCAAGAGGUCUUUCAAAGGUUGUAAUGUGGCUUAGGUUACAAGAAAGGAUAUGAUUAAGAGAAUUCAACAAAGUUGCCUAUCCUAAGGGAGCAUUCCCAAACAUUCAACUCUACACAAUUUCCCUUUCUUUGAUCCCUAUCUUUUUCUUUUUCUUUUUCUUUUCAAAUCCACACAACCAUGAGCAUUUUCUUUGCUU
rnacentral:lncRNA from 1 species